UUAACAUUUUUAUUAGGCAUUCCAGCGAUGUGUCAAAUAAAUCCAAAAUGGCGCUUGAAGGGCAUACAUGGAUUGUUUACGUUUAAACAUUUAUGAUAUAUAUUUAAUUUAUUAUUUUAAUCAGUGCCAGAAUUUGUGGAGUAUAGUGAUUUUUCGCAGCAGUAAUAAUUAUAUUAGUGUUUACAAGGUAUUUUCAAUGUAAUGCCUAUAACUUGCAUUGUAGUGGGUUGUGGAAGUCGUGGAAUGCGAGACCAAGUGAGUUUUUACAGUGUCCCCAAUAUCACGAAUUCUCCGCACUAUCCUCAUAUAAAUGAGUUGUCAAGAAAGCGACGAGAAAUGUGGUUAGCUGCCAUAAAAAGGCAAGAUCUAAUUCUAAGAAAUCAGAGGGUUUGUAGCAGACAUUUCAUACAAGGAAAACCAAGUGCUUUAGAUGAUAAGGAUAACCCCGAUUGGGUUCCCUCCCAAAACAUAGGCCAUAUCUCUCAAGCCUUUACCAAAAGGAAACAUGACAUGGACAGAAAGUCGAUAAAAGACAAAAACUGAUACACAAACACGACUCUGCAAAUCCUGUUAUGGAGAAGGAGCCAAAUGAUGAGGACCCCACCUAUGGUUGCGAUGGUUUAGCCUCGCAAACAGAUUUAACAAUGGAAGCAUUUGAUAUAAAAUUCGAACAGUUGCAGUUUGCCUCUGAAAAAAUUGAAAAUUUGAAGUGCAAGAUUGAACUUGGACUAAUUAGUGAUACUGUAAAAUGGACCUAUUACACAGGAUUUGAGUAUGACAUUGUCAACCAAAUCAUAUUUGUGGAAGUGAAACCAUUUAUUCCCACUACAUCAACAACGUUUCUCAGCCCUUUCAAUCGAUUGUUACUUACUCUUGUAAAGUUGCGACUGAACCAACAGUUUCACGAUUUAGCUUACCGUUUUGGAAUUGCUCCAACAACAGCAUCAACAUAAUUUUACAGUAUUAUACAUAUUCUGUAUCAAAGACUAAAAUCAUUAAUAAUUUGGCCUACCCGUUCAGUAAACCGUAAGACCACUAUUAUUGUUGACUGUUUUGAAAUUUUUCUAGAGAAACCUAAUGUAUCUUACUCAGCAACAGUGCUGCUCAAAUUAUAAACAUCAUACUACA